UACGGAAGGUCCGGGCGUUAUCCGGAUUUAUUGGGUUUAAAGGGAGCGUAGGCCGGAGAUUAAGCGUGUUGUGAAAUGUAGACGCUCAACGUCUGCACUGCAGCGCGAACUGGUUUCCUUGAGUACGCACAAAGUGGGCGGAAUUCGUGGUGUAGCGGUGAAAUGCUUAGAUAUCACGAAGAACUCCGAUUGCGAAGGCAGCCUGCUAAGCUGCAACUGACGCUGAAGCUCGAAAGUGCGGGUAUCGAACAGG
rnacentral:rRNA from 1 species